rnacentral:rRNA from 1 species
UACGUAGGGGGCGAGCGUUGUCCGGAAUCAUUGGGCGUAAAGCGCGUGUAGGCGGCCCGGUAAGUCCGCUGUGAAAGUCCAGGGCUCAACCCUGGGAUGCCGGUGGAUACUGUCGGGCUCGAGUCCGGAAGAGGCGAGUGGAAUUCCUGGUGUAGCGGUGAAAUGUGUAGAGAUCAGGAGGAACACCUGUGGUGUAGACAGCUUACUGGACGAUAACUGACGCUGAGGCACGAAAGCGUGGGUAGCAAACAGG